rnacentral:rRNA from 1 species
GGGGGGGGGGGGGGGGGGGGGGGGCGCAGGCGGGUCGGGCGGGAGGGGGGGGGCGGAAGCCGGGGCGAACGGUUACUAAGGAGAGUGGCGAACGGGGGAGUAACGCGUGGGCAACCUGCCUAUGACAGUGGGAUAGCCCCGGGAAACCGGGCUUAAUACCGCAUAAAAUCGUAGAAGCACAUGUGUUAACGGUCAAAGAAUUAUCGGUCACAGAGGGGCUCGCGUCUGAUUAGCUAGUUGGUGAGAUAACAGCCCACCACGGCGACGAUCAGUAGCCGGUGUUGGAGGAGGAGCGGCCACAUUGGAACUGAGACACGGUCCAAAAUCCUGCGGGAGGCAGCAGUGGGGAAUAUUGCACAAUGGGGGAAACCCUGAUGCAGCGACGCCGCGUGAACGAAGAAGGUAGUCAUAUCGUAAAGUUCUGUUCUAUGGGAAGAUAGUGACAGUACCAUAGAAGAAAGCGCCGGCUAAAUACGUG